UUAAGGUACCAAAAUCGGAAGCCGCACUCGAGGAGCUUCAAUCCCUUCACAAGGUUGUGGAUCUCUAUGUUUGGUUGAGUUUCUGACUGGAGGAAUCAUUCCCAGAUCGCGAGCUUGCAUCUACACAGAAGUCCAUCUGCCGCACAGUUGGU